GUGCCUUUUCAUUUUAUUCUGCCUUCAAGCAAUCAAAAUUCCUUAUAUGGGUCCCUCACUUUACGGUUUACAGAAGGCUUACAUGUUAUCUCAUGGAAGCCUCACACACUCUGAUCCCCAUUUGAGAGAGGAGGGACCCAAGGCUCCGAGCCACGAUCACAAGCUAGUAAGGAGCAGAGCAUGUCUCUGGGCCGCCGGCGCCCUGGCCAACACCCUUUCUUCAGCUCCUUGUUUUGGGUUCCCGUUCAGACCACGGUCUGACUCACUCUUUCCUGACACAAAACUCAACUGUCCUCUCUCCAGAGUUAGAACAAGUACUCACUGUAGGAGUCAUGCUCAAGUUCCUCCUCUUCCAAGAAAACAGUCUCUCAACAAACAUUGCAGACGCGUUCCUAGGGAAGGCUCCUUGCUAGGCUCUGAGGAACAGCAAAGGAAGUGAAUCUGGCCUAUGGCCUCUGUCGUCUGCCUUCUGCUCGGAAGGGCAGCAGCAGACCCUGCCCCCUCUCAUUCCCUGCCUUCUGAACCCGGGAGAGCAGAGGCUGAGCAGUCGCCUGGCCGUGCUGGGCUCUGCUAUGAAUUUGCUGUAGGCAGGCUCCCCUCACACCUGCCACCGUAUAGAACAGCUAUGAAAGGGCUCCUUCGACCCAUCAAGCCGAGCUACUUCUCGCCGGGGCAGCCCAUCCCCUCGCAGGGAGCUGAACGGUGCCCCCCCAAAUUCAUGUCCACCCAGAACCUCACAAUGUGACCUUAUUUAGAAAUAGUAUCUUCGCAUACAUCAUCAGUUAAGGAUGUCAAGAUGGAAUCAUCCUGGAGUUAGGGUGGGCGCUGAAUUCACUGACUGGUGUCCUUAUAAGAGGAAAGGACACAGAGAGACAACAGAGAAGAAGGCCAUGUAAAGACAGACGCAGAGACUGGAGUGAUGCAGCUACAAGCCAAGGAACACCAAGGAUUGCCAGGAGCCAAGAGAUGUUGGAAGCGGCAAGGAAGGAUUUUUCCUGGAGCCUUCAGAGGGAGCGGGGCCCUGCUGACACCUUGAUUUCAGACUUCCAGCCUCCAGAACACAGCCACCUCCAGCGCUGGCAGAUGGCACCAGGAGUGGGAGCCACAGGAGUCUGGGAGCAUGUUCUCAUCCUGGCUUUGUCACCAAUUUUCUUGAAAAUUCACCACCCCUCUCCUGCUAAAGGAGGGGUGGGCAGGGCAGAUGGUCUGUUACGUCCUUUCCAGUGCUGACAUUCCAAGAUGACGGCUUCUUUCUAUACCAGAGGGAAGCACGUGUGCUUGUCGCCAUGCUCGUUGGUCCUACCUCCAUCCUACGUGCAUCGGCAGCACUGCGCCCCCGUGCUGCAGAGAUGCUGGGAGUGGUGAGGACGACAGGCCCCGGUCAGUGAGGCAAGCACAAGGACAGCAGGAAAGCAGAGCGGAGAAGGAACACCAGUGUGGGCAGCGGCCGGAGGAGGUGAAGCCGAGGAGUCUGAGGACGAGCUGGAUGGCCAGGCAGGAAAGGCAGAGGCAGAGCCAGGCAACAAGGAGGUCUGAGAAGAUGCCGAGUCGGGGUUGCGGGGGGCGGUGGUUGGUGGUGCAGGGGAGGUGGUCAGCUCGGGGCCAGAUGGUGAAGGGAGUUUGCAGUCUCUCCUGGAGGCCGCAGGGAGCUGGGGCUGCACAGGCAGAGGGGGGCGGUGCUCCAAUCUGGCUUUCCUUAGGAAGCGUCAUCUGGACCCACAGUGUAGGGUGUCCUGGGGCCUCCAGAACCACCACCUUGCACUUUCAGCCGGCUCAGAGAAGGCUGCCAGCAGGUUUCCCAUCGUCAGUUGGAGCGAGAAAUGUUGGGGGCUGGUCUCCUCUCUCUGCUGCCCUGGGGUGAUAACCAGCAAUAUCAGGAAUACAGUUUCAAGCCAGAAGCAGGAACGCUCAUGCCGGCAAACCGGUGUCGACUUGGGCAACAGCCUGACGUCAGCGGAAUUGGCCAGGCUGCCGGAGCCUUGGCAGCUGAGCGCCGAGCACAGCAGCCUCAUCAACACAGUAUUGAAAGUACUCCCAAGACUCCGGUGUUUCUUAGCAACUGCCCUAUUUGGGGGAACACUGAGUGCCACAGGGAAGCUGGCUUGGAAACAUGUGCAAGACAAGCAGCACCCCCAAUCAACACGCAGUGUGCCCCCUGCAGCCCAGCUCCUUCAUGCCAGCUGCCAUCUCCCAGGGCAAUGUGACCAGACUGGAAGACCUCCAGGAGGCAAUCAGCUACCCUACAGGUCUCUAGGCAGCUUCCAGAACCAAAAGCUUGCAGAGAGGCCCCGGUUAUCCUUUCGGCCCCCAGGCAAAGCCCAGUUACCAUCUGUUAUUCUUCAAACCAUCUGAGCAGCUGACAGGCCACAAAGGAAAAAAAGAGACACUAACAAAACACGCCAGGCCCUUAACACUCAGACCCAGGGCUGGGCACAGAGGGCAUCUUCGAUACACAAAACACCCCCAAAAGGAGUCCAGGAUACACAGGUCUUCUGUGGAAGUCUGCAACCAACCAAGGUGUUCUAGAAAGUUCCAGGAUACAAAUGCUUGCUGGACUUUUGUUCUUUCUACACUUGGACAGAGGACACCUCAUUUUACCUCCACAAAAUUUAUUUUGGAGAAUUAAAGAAUUCCACCAGGGCCAGGCUUCUUGGCACAGGCAGUCGAUCUCAGAUAUGUAUUAUUAAUACGAACAUUUUCCUGUCGUGAUUGCACACCCAAUUUAAAAUGAAUUAUCCAAUUAAAUUAAGAAGGUGAUGCAUUCAACUUCCAGGAAUAUAUUGCCAAUGACUCUGUCUUGCCUGUCUCCCCUAAACCCCUUCCAAUUAAGUAAAGACUGAUCAGUACAUUGUGAGGAUAAGCUGGGAUGUUGCUGUGGAGACGGGAGGAUUUUUCAUCAUAUCACCAUUUCAAUCUCCUGAUGAGAAGGGAGCUGGCAGAGCGUUCAGCCUCCCCCCAGGAUGAAUGCUCACCGCCAACAACAACAAGGACAAAAGCUCUGCUGGAUGGAAAAGGAUGAGGGAUUGUGUAAGCUUCCACAUCUCCUUCUGCAGCAACCCAGUCUAUGGCUUCGGCUUCCCAUGAGCAGAAGACAGUUGCCCUGUGUAGGCAAGUGGCAGACUCCACCAUCUUCCUCCUCCCCGCCCCCACCCGGGCAGUUCUAGAGAGGGGCAUGCAGGCCCUGAUCUGAGGCAGUGAUAGCGCCAACUCAGCCAGCAGAGAGAAAUCGAUGGGUGGUAACUGGCCAAAAAUAUCACAGCUGUGGUGUCAGACUGUGACACGGUCAACACCAGGAAGAGUAAGAAGAGACAAAGAUUUUAUUUCUCAAAUGCAAAUCUGAUCCUGGCACUCUCUACCUUACACUCCUUCAUGAGCUCUCCGUUGCCCUCACAUUAAAGUUCCAACUCUUAGGCAUGAUACACCCCAUGUUCCAUUCCUCCCUCACUCUUCCAACCUCAUCUCUCCCCCAUUCCCUAAAUAAAUACUCCGUGCUUGAAAAAGUCAAACUCUUUCACAUCUCCCUGCGUUGGCACAUGCUGUUCCCUUUCCUAGCACACCCUUCCCUGUUUUCAGCUUGGUAAACUCCUUCUCACUCCUCUGGACCCAGGUCAGGUGCCCUGAGCUCUGGUGGCCUUCUCUCCACCUUUCCUUCCCUCCCUCUCUUUCCUGGGAGAUACUGGUAGCAUGGCCAAGCUAGCACUUUACACAACAUGCUCUAUUCCAGUUGGUUUGCAUGUCUGUCUCCCCCACCAGCUGCUGUGCCACUCAAGGGGACGGAGUAUGUUUUCAAAGGAAUGGCUGAACGACAGGAGAAAAGGCAGAGGUGAAGAACCGGGCAUGUCCUCUGGAGAUGGAUGUAUACCUGGACCCCACCCAGAACUUACUCAAGACGUGAAUAUAUGCUGUGAAUCCCAGCCAUUCCUCAAGCCCCUCAGACUUGGGCCCAUGCGUGGGCAGAUCCUGAGGCCAGUUACAGGCACGCUCUGGGCACAGACCCCUCGCUUCUCCACCCUAAGAUGAAAGACUUAAAAACCAAGUCUGUCCGACAUUAAAGAGUGAAAAACAGUUGUUAAACUUGCUAAUAAAUAAAAUCCCUGAAAGAGAUCUUUAUUAUUACAUCAGGUUAUAAAGAACCUUCUGGAAGUCUCAGUUUAAAUCUAAGGGAAAAAAAGAAACUCUACCCCAAAAUUCAAACCAUCAGGACUAUAAUGAACAAACCCACCUCCACAGGCUUACAGCGAGACUGAGGAGAACGGGUGACUGUGGACCGCCCAAGCAGGAGCCAGGUCUCUGUCAGCUCCGGUUUGUGCCCUCACGGGCCCAAACACAGGCAUCCUCCCACUGCCUGCACAUUUCCAAGCGGAACAGGGGCUUCAGUCCAAGCCUGGGGAAUAAAACGUGCCGCAUCCUGGACUGGGCAUCUGUCCUUUCUUGGGAUUCUGACUGUGUUUGCCCAGCAGCCUCCUCCAAAGCUGUAAGCGGGGAAGCAGGUCGUUGGCAGUGCUGGGUCGCAAAACCCAGACCCUCCAGCCUUCCCUCAGGUGUUUGAAAUGGGGAUGCACAGAAACGCAGGUGGAGUAGGGAACCUCAGCCAUUGCUAAUCCAGCAUCGGAAGCAUCAGGGCGGCUUUUCUUCCCAUCUAAGUCAUUCAUUAAAAUCGUCUGCUCUUCCGGCACAGGGAACUGCUGAAUUCCCAAAGACUCUGAAUCCCUCCAAGGCAGGUCUCCUCUUCCUCACCUUUGCUCCCACCUUGGGGACCCAGCGCAGUGCCUGGCACACGGUGGCCACACCCUGGCGUGCCUGUCAUACAAUCAGGUUUCAUACCUGCUGUUGAAGCCAGUUGCCAUGCAUGUCACUGGGAACAGUUUUCCUUUAGGAUUUGUUGGAAUCAAACCAUCACCUCCAAGGCUCUCCCUUUGUAAUUUUGAAAAUUAUAAAUGAAAAUUCAAAAUUCCACACAAAAGCCCAGCAGUGUCUGAAAUACGUGUCCGUGUCACGGGUAGAAGUAUGACACCCACAAGGAAUGUUGAAGUCCUAACCCCCAGCACCUGUGAACGUGACCUUAUUUGGGAGCAGGGUCUUUUCAGAUAUAACCUAUUUAAGAUAGGGUCAUUAAGAUGGUCCCCAAUCCAAUAGACCUAGUGACCUUAUAACAGGGAAACUUGGACACAGACACACAGGGAGAACGCUGGGUGAUGACAGAGGCAGAGGCUGGAGUGAUGCAGCCAUAAGCCAAGAACACCAAGGAUUGAUGGCUACCACCAGAAGAUAGGAAGAGGCCAGGAAGAAAUCUACCCAGACUCUCAGAGGGAGCCUGGCCCCGCUGAUACUGGAUUUCAAACUUCUGGCCUCCUGAACUGUGAGAAUAACUGUCUGCUGUUCGAAGCCACCCACUUUGUGGUUAUCUGUUCCAACAGCCCUAGAAAACUGCUACAGUACCAGAAGCAAAAGGCAGUGCCUUUUUGGUUAAGUUUAGCAUUUAAUGUCCAAUUUUUAUAUUAGUGAUUGGUGUUUGGGGAGCAUCCGCUUUCUUAUGUUAGCCAUUUGCUCAUUCAUUUCGCAUUUACUGAGCAACUAAUGUGUGUCCGAUCCUGUGCAAGGUACCAGAGCAACAAAAGGCGGGGGGGGGGGGGGGGGGGGGUGGGGGGGGGAGGGG